CUACAGGAUCAAGUCCAUGCAUCCCAGUCCUUGGUGGCAUAGCUCCAGUGCCCCUCUCCAUUUUCCUCUUUAUUGCCAUGUUGACCAGUCCCACCAAGUGUCUUGCCCUCAUUCCAGGACACCACAGCCUCCUUGCUGGUCUCUGGGCCUCUGGCAAGCUCUUCUCUCUCUCUUGUCUCCUUGACAGACUUGACUCACCCUUCAAGGCCCUGAUUUUAUGUUACCUCCACCAAAGCACCCUUUCAGAUUCCCCAGCAGAAAGUUAGUCUCUCCUUUGUGCUGCCACAACACUUUGAUCUCUCUCUUUCACUUCACUUAUCUGAUUUCUUAAAAAUUUAUUUGAAGAAGAGUUCAUAUAGACAGCAGUAAAUUCAAGCAAUACAAAAGGUAAUUCCCUGUCACCUGUGACCUGAAGGCUCCUAAUUCUCUCGAGAGGCAAUUGCUGUGACCUGAGACAAUCUGUGUAUGUAGAGUAUUCUGCACCUUCUAUCUUGGGAAUUAUUUCAGAUUGGCUUCUGUGUGUGUGUCUUAGUUCUUUUUGGACCUGUCUCCCUUACUAGAGUGUGAAGUAGAGGUUUUAUCUUUGUACUUUCUUACCUAUACCUGACACUGGGCUUGGCCUUGGGCUAGGGACUUGAGAGAGAGAUAAGACAGGUAAGUGAAUGAAUGAAUGAAGCAUGGCUGGCCAGUGCUUACCCACUCAGGGUUGGGUACCAUCUUUUCCACAGAUCCCACCCCUGGGGAAGCACUACUCCCAGCGCUGGGCCCAGGAAGACCUGCUGGAGGAGCAGAAAGAUGGGGCCCGGGCAGCGGCCGUGGCUGACAAGAAGAAAGGCCUCAUGGGGCCACUGACCGAACUGGACACUAAAGAUGUGGAUGCCCUGCUGAAGAAGUCUGAGGCCCAGCAUGAACAGCCGGAAGAUGGAUGCCCCUUUGGUGCCCUGACGCAACGCCUCCUGCAGGCCCUGGUGGAGGAAAAUAUUAUUUCUCCUAUGGAGGAUUCUCCUAUUCCUGACAUGUCUGGGAAAGAAUCAGGGGCUGAUGGGGCAAGCACCUCCCCUCGCAAUCAGAACAAGCCCUUCAGUGUGCCGCAUACUAAGUCCCUGGAGAGCCGCAUCAAGGAGGAGCUAAUUGCCCAGGGCCUUUUGGAGUCUGAGGACCGCCCCGCAGAGGACUCCGAGGAUGAAGUCCUUGCUGAGCUGCGCAAACGGCAGGCUGAGCUGAAGGCACUUAGUGCCCACAACCGCACCAAGAAGCACGACCUGCUGAGGCUGGCAAAGGAGGAGGUGAGCCGGCAGGAGCUGAGGCAGCGGGUGCGCAUGGCUGACAACGAGGUCAUGGACGCCUUUCGCAAGAUCAUGGCUGCCCGGCAGAAGAAGCGGACUCCCACCAAGAAAGAAAAGGACCAGGCCUGGAAGACUCUGAAGGAGCGCGAGAGCAUCCUGAAGCUGCUGGAUGGGUAGCCCUCACCCCUGCCUCAGGCUGAUUAUCUGGCCUAGGGGAGGGGAAGGGAGGCCCACUUCCUUCUUUGGGCACAGGAAACAUUGGCCUGUGGCUGUCCCUCAAAUGGCAGCAGUCUCUAGAGGACCGUGGCCCUUCCCCUGAGGUCUUUUGGCCUAGCUCUGUACAGCCAGGACACAGGAAGCCCUGCUGGGCUGGCCUGAGGCCUAGUCUCUGCUUGGUCCCCAAGAUGGGGUUGGAGGGGACUUCGUUUCUGGGUCUUCCUCUUCCCCCUCUUUACCAUCCCCCACUCCCUAAUCCCUUACCCCUGUCUCCCCUUCAAGGACUUCUCCCUUGUGGUUUUGUAAAGUGCAAACUUAAGAAUAAAGUGACUGCUGUGGUUUUUCAAAAAAA
rnacentral:sRNA from 1 species